GAUGAACGCUGGCGGCGUGCCUAAUACAUGCAAGUCGAGCGAACGGACGAGAAGCUUGCUUCUCUGAUGUUAGCGGCGGACGGGUGAGUAACACGUGGAUAACCUACCUAUAAGACUUGGAUAACUUCGGGAAACCGUAGCUAAUACCGGAUAAUAUUUUGAACCGCAUGGUUCAAAAGUGAAAGACGGUCUUGCUGUCACUUAUAGAUGGAUCCGCGCUGCAUUAGCUAGUUGGUAAGGUAACGGCUUACCAAGGCAACGAUGCAUAGCCGACCUGAGAGGGUGAUCGGCCACACUGGAACUGAGACACGGUCCAGACUCCUACGGGAGGCAGCAGUAGGGAAUCUUCCGCAAAGGGCGAAAGCCUGACGGAGCAACGCCGCGUGAGUGAUGAAGGUCUUCGGAUCGUAAAACUCUGUUAUUAGGGAAGAACAUAUGUGUAAGUAACUGUGCACAUCUUGACGGUACCUAAUCAGAAAGCCACGGCUAACUACGUG
rnacentral:rRNA from 1 species